GUAGGUGAACCUGCGGAAGGAUCAUUACCGUACAACGGAGGUGCAAGGGCUGUCGCUGGCCUUCAAAGGUCGUGCACGCCCGGGCCCUCUCACAAUCCAUCUCACCCUUUGUGCAUCACCGCGUGGGUCCCCUUUGCGGGAGGGCUCACGUUUUAACAUAAAAACUCGAUACAGUGUAGAAUGUUUAUUUUUGCGGUCACACGCGAUCAAUACAACUUUCAACAACGGAUCUCUUGGCUCUC
rnacentral:misc_RNA from 1 species